UGCAACCACAAUCAUAACACUUUCAUGGAACCAUCUCUUGGAAACAAAAACCCAGAAUAUAUCAUAUAAGAAUGCACAGCUGAGAAGCACAGAUCCCACCUUGAGAUUGGGGACUCUGACAAUUUGAAGAACUGUAAUAAUCAACGCAAUUCCCAGAAUAUCUUGACCUAUCCAUGCGAGUGAUCUGCGACGAUAAACACCCCAAACAGUAGCAAAUGUUAUGCAGAAUGGUGUAACAGCUAGAGUAAGGUAUGAAAUGGCCCCAAAGAAUGGCACUUUAAUAUAUGAUUUUUCAGCAUGCUUGAACCACCGAGACAACAAAGCUACCAAACAGGUUUGUAGACCCUCUACUCCACCGAUGCAAAACAGAACCACCAAAAGCACCACAAACCAAAAUGACAUGAGUUUGUAGAGCAGAAUCAAGAACAGUGAUGCAAUAAGAACAAACAGAACAGCUGACAUAGUGUUGAUGUCCACCACUCCGCUGUCAUCUGAUGUUUCCAUGUCGACUACAUCAUCCGGGGCAUCCUUCAAAAUUUUGUUAUGUUCUAUGGACGCUUCUCUGGCACUCCAUGCUGACCAAUAGGAUGCACAUAAGAUGGUACCAACUGCCAUGAGCCAUAAAAACACCUCUGCUGUGUCCACUAUAGGACGAUCUGGAGAGUACAAUUGUACCGCAACUGAGGAACCAUUUUCAAGGUACUUCUCUAAGCUUGCACCUGCAUCUUGAGGCAACAUAACUACCGGUAUGUUUAUAUUUAAAUCUGUAUCAUUGCGAUCACAAACCAUCUUAUAUAGCUCUUUGCGGUUGUUUAUUAUAAGUAUAGCAGAAGCUCCAGCUGCUUCUGCAAUCUUUGCCUUGGUCGUGAAUUUACAAUUGCCCCGGUGUACUAAGAGAACAUCUCCAGCAAUCUUAUUUUUUGGUGCAGUACAGCAAUCAGGUGGCUCUGCUAUAGAAACCUGUGUACGAUUCGCAUGUUUCUCCUUUGAUGCCAUUAGAGUCCCAAACCGAGCACCAACACCAACAAACUCUCUGUCUUCUCUAUUACCAAUCCAGGUUUGCACUUUAACCAGAACGAAGUUAUUGGAGCAGCCGGGCUGCUUCGGCGCCUUGUCGUCUUCGUGGACGAUAUCGCCGCCGCUGACCAGAAGCGGCAGCAGCCAGAGCAGCACCACAACCGAGCGCGGCCCCAUG
rnacentral:misc_RNA from 1 species